rnacentral:rRNA from 1 species
GUGAGGAAUUUUCCGCAAUGGGCGAAAGCCUGACGGAGCAAUGCCGCGUGAAGGAUGAAGGCCUAUGGGUUGUAAACUUCUUUUCUCAGAAAAGAAUUAUGACGGUAUCUGAGGAAUAAGCAUCGGCUAACUCAGUGCCAGCAGCCGCGGUAAGACAGAGGAUGCAAGCGUUAUCCGGAAUGAUUGGGCGUAAAGCGUCUGUAGGUUGUUUAAAAAGUAUUCUGUCAAAGAUUAGGGCUUAACCCUAGAUAGGCAGAAUAAACUUUUAAGCUAGAGUUUGGUAGAGGCAGAGGGAAUUCCCGGUGGAGCGGUGAAAUGCGUAGAUAUCGGGAGGAACACCAAAGGCGAAGGCACUCUGCUGGGCCAAUACUAACACUGAGAGACGAAAGCGAGGGGAGCAAAUGGGAUUAGAUACCCUGGUAGUCC